CGGAUGCGAUCAUACCAGCACUAAAGCACCGGAUCCCAUCAGAACUCCGAAGUUAAGCGUGCUUGGGCGAGAGUAGUACUAGGAUGG
rnacentral:rRNA from 1 species